rnacentral:rRNA from 1 species
AGUAACACGUAGUUAAUCUGCCCUUGGGUCUGGGAUAAUCUCGGGAAACUGAGGCUAAUACCAGAUAGAUGAGAAUGCCUGGAAUGGUUUUUCAUCGAAAGAUUGCGCCCAAGGAUGAGACUGCGGCUGAUUAGGUUGUUGGGAAGUUAACAUCUUCUCAAGCCGAUAAUCAGUACGGGCCUUGAGAGAGGAAGCCCGGAGAUGGAUUCUGAGACAAAAAUCCAGGUCCUACGGGACGCAGCAGGCGCGAAAAUUCCGCAAUGCACGAAAGUGUGACGGAGAGAUUCAGAGUGCAUUCUCUUACUGAGGAUGCUUUUCUGAAGUCUAAAUAGCUUCAGGAAUAAGUGGUGGGUAAGACGGGUGCCAGCCGCCGCGGUAAUACCCGCGCCACGAGUGGUAACCAUUUUUAUUGGGCUUAAAGCGUUCGUAGCCGGUUUAGUAAGUUCCUAAUGAAAUCCCAUGGACGACUAUGGGGCUUGUUGGGAAUACUACUAAACUUGGGACCGGGAGAGGUCAAGGGUACUGCUAGUGUAGGGGUAAAAUCCUAUAAUCCUAGCCGGACCACCUGUGGCGAAGGCGCUUGACUAGAACGGAUCCGACGGUGAGGGACGAAAGCCAGGGGAGCGAAGCGGAUUAGAUACCCGCGUAGUCCUGGCUGUAAACGAUACCCACUAGACAUUGGGAAUCUUACGUGGGUUCCCAGAGUCGUAGGGAAACCGUUAAGUGGGUCGCCUGGGGAGUACGGUCGCAAGGCUGAAACUUAAAGGAAUUGGCGGGGGAGCACACAAGGGGUGGAGGCUGCGGUUUAAUUGGAUUCAACGCCAGGAACCUUACCAGAGGCGACAGCAGAAUGAAGGUCAGGCUGAAGACCUUACCAGACAAGCUGAGAAGUAGUGCAUGGCCGUCGUCAGUUCGUGCCGUGAGGUGUCCUGUUAAGUCAGGUAACGAACAAGACCCGCACUCUAUGUUGCUAUGGCAAUCUUUGUCAGCACUCAUAGAGGACCGCCAUUGAUAAAAUGGAGGAAGGUGCGGUCGACGGCAGGUCCGUAUGCCCUGAAUCCUCUGGGUUACACGCGGCCUACAAUGGAUGGGACAACGAGAUGUGACUCCGAAAGGAGGAACCAACCUCUAAACCCAUUCUCAGUCCGGAUCGAGGAUUGCAAUUCAUCCUCGUGAAGACGAAAUCCCUAGUAAUCGCUGGUUAGCAUCCAGCGGUGAAUAUGUUCUUGCUCCUUGCACACACUGCCCGUCAAGCCAUCUGAGUGGAUUUUUGGUGAGCUUCUGGUUUUUGCCAGAAUCGAGCCAGGGUUCCGCAAGGAGGGCUAAGUCGUAACAAGGUA